CUAGGUAAUGGUGUAAUUAUGAAAGAUAUUGAUAUGUUAGUCCUGUACUAUUUUGCAUAAACAUUAGCACAAUUCAUAUCGCACCAGCUCAUCCUUUUUACUCAUUAUGUUGUCAUGAGUUAAAUUAACAUUAAAUAGUUAGUGAUUUGCUACCCUCUAAAACAAUAUAAGCAUACUUCAUAACAUAUCAACAGAAUUAUCUUGAAACAACCAAAAAUGUAUUGUCAAAUAUCUCAAACUAUGCAAUCCACUUUAAAUGAUUCCUAUUAUGUUAUCUUACAUCAUUUUAGGUUUUAUUAUUUUCAGUUCUUUACUUUUGGAUUGUCAUAUCUUUUACUAUAUUUUAGUUGAAACCUUAGCAACAUGAAACUUCUGCCUAGGUUAAUGCAUCUGCUUUAGAAUCUCCUUUUGAAACAUGUUCCCACAACCGCUUCUAAUUGAGGUAACUAAAUCUGAAAAUGCUGAAAGUAAAGCUCAUUCUGCCCAACAAGAAAACCAGGAU
rnacentral:lncRNA from 1 species